ensembl:snRNA U6 U6 spliceosomal RNA
CUGCUUGCUUCAAAAGCAUAUAUAUUACAAUUGGAACAACACAGGGAAAAUUAGCACGGUCUCUGAGCAAGCAUGGCAUGAAAAUUUAUUAUGGUCCAUAUUUUU